AUGAACGCUGGCGGCGUGCCUCAUACAUGCCAGUCGAGCGAACAGAUGAGGAGCUUGCUCCUCUGACGUUAGCGGCGGACGGGUGAGUAACACGUGGAUAACCUACCUAUAAGACUGGGAUAACUUCGGGAAACCGGAGCUAAUACCGGAUAAUAUAUUGAACCGCAUGGUUCAAUAGUGAAAGACGGUUUUGCUGUCACUUAUAGAUGGAUCCGCGCCGCAUUAGCUAGUUGGUAAGGUAACGGCUUACCAAGGCAACGAUGCGUAGCCGACCUGAGAGGGUGAUCGGCCACACUGGAACUGAGACACGGUCCAGACUCCUACGGGAGGCAGCAGUAGGGAAUCUUCCGCAAUGGGCGAAAGCUUGACGGAGCAACGCCGCGUGAGUGAUGAAGGUCUUCGGAUCGUAAAACUCUGUUAUUAGGGAAGAACAAAUGUGUAAGUAACUAUGCACGUCUUGACGGUACCUAAUCAGAAAGCCACGGCUAACUACGUG
rnacentral:rRNA from 1 species